rnacentral:rRNA from 1 species
UGGAAUGAUGGAAGAGGGCCUCGUCUACGUCUGUCGGUCUCCGUCUACGGCGAGGCAAUGAUCGAAGGGAGCGGUCGGGGCCACUCGUAUUGCGACGUUAGAGGUGAAAUUCUUGGAUCGUCGUAAGACGCCCUACAGCGAAAGCAUUUGCCAAGUAUGUUUUCAUUAAUCAAGAACGAAAGUCAGAGGUUCGAAGACGAUCAGAUACCGUCGUAGUUCUGACCGUAAACUAUGCCAACUGGCAGCCCGUCGGCGUUGCUCUAUUCGACUCGGCGGGAGGCCUACCCGAAAGGAAAGUCUACGGGUUCCAGGGGAAGUAUGGUUGCAAAGCUGAAACUUAAAGGAAUUGACGGAAGGGCACCACCAGGAGUGGAGCCUGCGGCUUAAUUUGACCCAACACGGGAAAACUCACCUGGUCCGGACACUGGAAGGAUUGACAGAUUGAAAGCUCUUUCUUGAUUCAGUGGGUGGUGGUGCAUGGCCGUUCUUAGUUGGUGGAGUGAUUUGUCUGGUUAAUUCCGAUAACGAACGAGACUCUAGCCUGCUAACUAGUUCGCCGACAGCUCGUUGUCGCGCGGCGCCAUUUCGGUGGCAAACUUCUUAGAGGGACAGGUGGCGUAUAGCCACACGAAGUAGAGCAAUAACAGGUCUGUGAUGCCCUUAGAUGUCCAGGGCCGCACGCGCGCUACACUGAAAGAAUCAACGUGGAUGCCCACCUGCUCCGAGAGGAGUGGGAAACCCGAUGAAUCUCUUUCGUGAUGGGGAUUGGGGCUUGUAAUUAUUCCCCAUGAACGAGGAAUUCCCAGUAAGCGUCAGUCAUCAGCUGGCGUUGAUUACGUCCCUGCCCUUUGUACACACCGCCCGUCGCUACUACCGAUUGAAUGGUUUAGUGAGACCCUCGGACUGGAAUCCGUUUGCUGCUUUCGGGUGGCGGACGGGGACGGAAAGACGGUCGAACUUGAUCAUUUAGAGGAAGUAAAAGUCGUAACAAGGUUUCCGUAGGUGAACCUGCGGAAG